CCCCUGGGGAACACCACUAAAAACAGGCCGCCAACCAGACUCUGUGCUGCUGAUCAUGACUCUCUGAGCUCUGCCAGUCAGCCAGUUCUCAACCCACCUCACUGUCCACUCAUCUAUCCCACAUUUCAAGAGCUUCAUUACAAGGACGCUGUGGGAGACAGUGUCUAAUACCUUGCUGAAGUCAAGCUGUUUGGAGAUGUUUAGCUCCAUCUUUUGGGUACACAGCACUGAGGUGUUCAGCAGUUGGCUCUGCCCCUCAAGGUGUGAGGUUUGGUUCCACCUGCUGCCUGGCUCGGGAAAUUCCAUGCUCUAUCGAUCAGCACAUGGAGUUGGUCUUCAUUGGCAGCUGCGUGCUUCGCCAUCCAGCUAUGUGCUGCAAGGAAGAACUCUGCUCCGUGAAGAUGACAGCAGGCUGAAAGCUCUCAAGAUCCUGUCACUCCUGGAGAUACAUGUCUAAAUAUCUGC
rnacentral:lncRNA from 1 species